rfam:Polaribacter atrinae strain KACC 17473 LPB303_36, whole genome shotgun sequence.
CUCUAGCCCUGAUUGAAACGGCAUCCUUUUUGCUUUUCGCAAAAAGAUAUAGUGGAAAGCAGGAAAUAGC